CCCAGCUUCCCUCUGGGCAAAGCACUGACGGAGCAGCUGGCCCUGGCCUUGUCUCCUUGGACUUUGCCACAGAGGCAGCCUCAGCUUCCUCGACUGUAAAAUGGGGACAGACCGAGCUUCCGUGUGGAGCAGAAACAAAGGGGCUGCUAGGUUCCUCCUCUGAGGGCAGACAGAUACCCCAUGCCGUACUCAAGGCGCUAUGGCCCCCAGGUCCAGAGAUCAUUUGGCUGACUCUGUCCUGGGAUGGGAGGGAAGGUUGGAGGCCUUCCAGGAUGGGAGGACCACGGCAGAGAGAUGGGUUACAGAAGUCACUCUGGAGGGGUGCAGAGUAAAUGGGAAAGAUGCACAAGGAGUGAAAGAGAUGGGCCCGAAGACAAAUAAGGACAAUAAAAGCCAUUCAGUGAACCU
rnacentral:lncRNA from 1 species